AGAACGAACGCUGGCGGCAUGCCUAACACAUGCAAGUCGAACGAUCUCUUCGGAGAUAGUGGCGCACGGGUGCGUAACGCGUGGGAAUCUGCCCUUGGGUUCGGAAUAACAGUUGGAAACGACUGCUAAUACCGGAUGAUGACGUUAAGUCCAAAGAUUUAUCGCCCAGGGAUGAGCCCGCGUAGGAUUAGCUAGUUGGUGAGGUAAAGGCUCACCAAGGCGACGAUCCUUAGCUGGUCUGAGAGGAUGAUCAGCCACACUGGGACUGAGACACGGCCCAGACUCCUACGGGAGGCAGCAGUGGGAAUAUGGACAAUGGGCGAAAGCCUGAUCCAGCAAUGCCGCGUGAGUGAUGAAGGCCUUAGGGUUGUAAAGCUCUUUUACCCGGAUGAUAAUGACAGUACCGGAGAAUAAGCUCGGCUAACUCCGUACCAGCAGCCG
rnacentral:rRNA from 1 species